rnacentral:misc_RNA from 1 species
GAUGAAGAACGUAGCGAAAUGCGAUAAGUAAUGUGAAUUGCAGAAUUCAGUGAAUCAUCGAAUCUUUGAACGCACAUUGCGCCCCCUGGUAUUCCGGGGGGCAUGCCUGUCCGAGCGUCAUUACAACCCUCAAGCUCAGCUUGGUGUUGGGCCCCGCCGCCCCGGCGGGCCCUAAAGUCAGUGGCGGUGCCGUCCGGCUCCGAGCGUAGUAAUUCUUCUCGCUCUGGAGGUCCGGUCGUGUGCUCGCCAGCAACCCCCCAUUUUUUUCAGGUUGACCUCGGAUCAGGUAGGGAUACCCGCUGAACUUAAGCAUAUCAAUAAGCGGAGGA